rnacentral:rRNA from 1 species
CCCUUAGAUGUUCUGGGCCGCACGCGCGCUACACUGAUGCAUUCAACGAGUCUAAAACCUGGUCUGAUAGGGCUGGGUAAUCUUUUGAAUGUGCAUCGUGAUUGGGAUAGAUGAUUGCAAUUCUUCAUCUUCAACGAGGAAUGCCUAGUAAACGCAAGUCAUCAGCUUGCAUUGAUUACGUCCCCGCCCUUUGUACACACCGCCCGUCGCUCCUACCGAUUGAAUGUUCCGAUGAAUACCAUGGACUGAGAGUAUGAAUGGGUUCGCCUAUUUCUGCUUCUCGGGAAGUGGAGUAAAUCUUAACAUUUAGAGGAAGGAGAAGUCGUAACA